rnacentral:SRP_RNA from 1 species
CCGUGCUAGGUGGGGAAUUAGCGGUGCCCUGUAACUUGCAAUCCGCUCUAGCAAGACUGAAGUCCUUUUAGAGGCUAUUCGUAUUGUAAAGUCUGCCUCUUGCACGCAGUGUUGACAUUUGGGUCCUGCGCAAUGAAAACCCAUGAACCAUGUCAGGUCCGGAAGGAAGCAGCAUUAAGUGGACUCUUUCAUGUGCCGUGGGGUCGCCUGAAUCGAGCUAGCGACAAGAGUAACGUUUAUGUGCGGUAGUCGACUUAAGGUGCACGG